AUUGAACGCUGGCGGCAUGCUUUACACAUGCAAGUCGAACGGUAACAGGCCGCAAGGUGCUGACGAGUGGCGAACGGGUGAGUAAUGCAUCGGAACGUGCCCAGUCGUGGGGGAUAACUGCUCGAAAGAGCAGCUAAUACCGCAUACGAUCUAUGGAUGAAAGCGGGGGACCGUAAGGCCUCGCGCGAUUGGAGCGGCGGAUGUCAGAUUAGGUAGUUGGUGGGGUAAAGGCUCACCAAGCCAACGAUCUGUAGCUGGUCUGAGAGGACGACCAGCCACACUGGGACUGAGACACGGCCCAGACUCCUACGGGAGGCAGCAGUGGGGAAUUUUGGACAAUGGGGGCAACCCUGAUCCAGCAAUGCCGCGUGCAGGAAGAAGGCCUUCGGGUUGUAAACUGCUUUUGUACGGAACGAAACGGUCUGGGUUAAUACCCUGGGCUAAUGACGGUACCGUAAGAAUAAGCACCGGCUAACUACGUGCCAGCAGCCGCGGUAACAC
rnacentral:rRNA from 1 species